rnacentral:misc_RNA from 1 species
GACGAAGGUGGCGAGCGUUACUCGGAAUUACUAGGCGUAAAGCAUGGGCAGGUGGUUCGAUAAGUCUGUUGUGAAAGCUCCCGGCUCAACUGGGAGAGGCCAAUGGAUACUAUCGGACUUGAAUGUGGGAGAGGUGGCUGGAAUUCCUGGUGUAGCGGUGAAAUGCGUAGAGAUCAGGAGGAACACCGAUGGCGAAAGCAGGUCACUGGACCACUAUUGACACUCAUCCAUGAAAGCUAGGGGAUCAAACAGG